GCGCUCAUAGCUCAGUUGGAUAGAGCUGGAGUUUCGUAGCUUCCCGGUCGCAGGUUCGAGUCCUGUCGAGCGCUCCA
rnacentral:tRNA from 1 species